rnacentral:rRNA from 1 species
ACUAAGCAUAUCAAUAAGCGGAGGAAAAGAAACCAACAGGGAUUGCCUCAGUAACUGCGAGUGAAGCGGCACAAGCUCAAAUUUGAAAUCUGGCGUCUUUGGCGUCCGAGUUGUAAUUUGGAGAGGCAUCUUCGGAGAUGGUGCUGUCCUAAGUUCCUUGGAACAGGACGUCACAGAGGGUGAGAAUCCCGUGCCUGGAUGGCUACCCAUCUCCAUGUGAAGAGUCUUCGACGAGUCGAGUUGUUUGGGAAUGCAGCUCAAAAUGGGUGGUAAAUUUCAUCUAAAGCUAAAUACUGGCGAGAGACCGAUAGCGCACAAGUAGAGUGAUCGAAAGAUGAAAAGCACUUUGAAAAGAGAGUUAAAAAGUACGUGAAAUUGUUGAAAGGGAAGCGCUUGAGACCAGACUCGAUCCUUGGUGAUCAGCCGUGCUUCUGUGCGGUGCACUUGCCAUUGAUCGGGCCAGCAUCGGUUCUGGCGGUGGGAUAAAAGGUGGAGGAAUGUAGCUUCCCUCGGGGAGUGUUAUAGCCUCCAUCACCAUGCCAUCAGCCGUGACCGAGGACCGCGCUUCGGCUAGGAUGCUGGCGUAAUGGUCUUAAGCGACCCGUCUUGAAACACGGACCAAGGAGUCUAACAUCUAUGCGAGUGUUCGGGUGGAAAACCCUUGCGCGUAAUGAAAGUGAACGGAGGUGGGAACCCGCAAGGGUGCACCAUCGACCGAUCCUGAUGUCUUCGGAAGGAUUUGAGUAAGAGCAUAGCUGUUGGGACCCGAAAGAUGGUGAACUAUGCCUGAAUAGGGUGAAGCCAGAGGAAACUCUGGUGGAGGCUCGCAGCGGUUCUGACGUGCAAAUCGAUCGUCAAAUUUGGGUAUAGGGGCGAAAGACUA